rnacentral:rRNA from 1 species
GUCUAUGGCCAUACCACCCUGAACGUGCCCAAUCUCGUCUGAUCUCAGAAGCUAAGCAGGGUCGGGCCUGGUUAGUACUUGGAUGGGGAAAAGAAAAAGAGGGAAAGAGAGAGUAUGACACUUGGGAGGCAGAGGUA